GACGGGGGCCCCGCACAAGCGGAGGAGCAUGUGGUUUAAUUCGAUGAUACGCGAGGAACCUUACCUGGGCUCGAACGUAAGAUGACUGUAGGUGAAAGCUUACAUCUCUUCGGAGCAUUUUACGAGGUGCUGCAUGGUUGUCGUCAGCUCGUGCCGUGAGGUGUCGGGUUAAGUCCCAUAACGAGCGCAACCCCUACCUUUAGUUGCCAUCAGGUUAAGCUGGGGACUCUAAAGGAACUGCCUACGCAAGUAGUGAGGAAGGCGGGGAUGACGUCAAAUCAGCACGGCCCUUACGUCCAGGGCUACACACGUGCUACAAUGGCCGAUACAGAGGGCAGCUACCUGGUGACAGGAUGCAAAUCUCCAAAGUCGGUCUCAGUUCGGAUCGGAGUCUGCAACCCGACUCCGUGAAGUUGGAUUCGCUAGUAAUCGCGCAUCAGCCAUGGCGCGGUGAAUACGUUCCCGGGCCUU
rnacentral:rRNA from 1 species